UACGUAGGGUGCGAGCGUUAAUCGGCAUUACUGGGCGUAAAGCGUGCGUAGGCGGUUCGCUGUGUCCGAUGUGAAAGCCCCGGGCUUAACCUGGGAAUGGCAUUGGAAACUGGCGGGCUUGAGUGCGGCAGAGGGGGGUGGAAUUCCGCGUGUAGCAGUGAAAUGCGUAGAGAUGCGGAGGAACACCGAUGGCGAAGGCAGCCCCCUGGGUCGACACUGACGCUCAGGCACGAAAGCGUGGGGAGCAAACAGG
rnacentral:rRNA from 1 species